UACAGAGGGGGCAAGCGUUGUUCGGAAUUACUGGGCGUAAAGGGCGCGUAGGCGGCCUUCUAAGUCGAACGUGAAAUCCCCGGGCUCAACCCGGGAACUGCGUCCGAGACUGGAAGGCUCGAAUCCGGGAGAGGGAUGUGGAAUUCCAGGUGUAGCGGUGAAAUGCGUAGAUAUCGGGAGGAACACCUGUGGCGAAGGCGGCCCCCUGGUUCGGAUACUGACGCUGAUACGCGAAAGCGUGGGGAGCAAACAGG
rnacentral:rRNA from 1 species